UCGGUGUUCGUGGUUUGUCCGA
rnacentral:misc_RNA from 1 species